GCGGGUGUAGCUCAAUGGCUAGAGUCUCUGCCUUCCAAGCAGAUUAUGCGGGUUCGAUUCCCGUCACCCGCUCCA
rnacentral:tRNA from 1 species